AAAGGGGAGCUUGUAAACAGGCUGAGAGGAGAUUCGAAAUCUCGACCCGUAGACCUGAUGCGGAUAAUGCCGCCGUAGGAAUCAUA
rnacentral:ncRNA from 1 species